GACGAACGCUGGCGGCGUGCUUAACACAUGCAAGUCGAACGGUAAGGCCCUUCGGGGUACACGAGUGGCGAACGGGUGAGUAACACGUGGGUGAUCUGCCCUGCACUUCGGGAUAAGCCUGGGAAACUGGGUCUAAUACCGGAUAGGACUCCGGACUGCAUGGUCUGGGGUGGAAAGCUUUUGCGGUGUGGGAUGGGCCCGCGGCCUAUCAGCUGGUUGGUGGGGUGAUGGCCUACCAAGGCGACGACGGGUAGCCGGCCUGAGAGGGUGACCGGCCACACUGGGACUGGGAUACUGCCCAGACUCCUACGGGAGGCAGCAGUGGGGAGUAGUGCACAGUGGGCGCAAGCCUGAUGCAGCGACGCCGCGUGAGGGAUGACGGCCUUCGGGUUGUAAACCUCUUUCAGCAUCGACGAAGCGAAAGUGACGGUAGGUGCAGAAGAAGGACCGGCCAACUACGUGCCAGCCGCCGCUGUAA
rnacentral:rRNA from 1 species